rnacentral:rRNA from 1 species
AGUGAACGCUGGCGGUAGGCCUAACACAUGCAAGUCGAACGGCAGCACAGUAAGAGCUUGCUCUUACGGGUGGCGAGUGGCGGACGGGUGAGGAAUACAUCGGAAUCUACUUUUUCGUGGGGGAUAACGUAGGGAAACUUACGCUAAUACCGCAUACGACCUACGGGUGAAAGCAGGGGAUCUUCGGACCUUGCGCGAUUGAACGAGCCGAUGUCGGAUUAGCUAGUUGGCGGGGUAAAGGCCCACCAAGGCGACGAUCCGUAGCUGGUCUGAGAGGAUGAUAAGCCACACUGGAACUGAGACACGGUCCAGACUCCUACGGGAGGCAGCAGUGGGGAAUAUUGGACAAUGGGCGCAAGCCUGAUCCAGCCAUACCGCGUGGGUGGAGAAGGCCUUCGGGUUGUAAAGCCCUUUUGUUGGGAAAGAAAAGCAGCAGGUUAAUACCCCGCUGUUCUGACGGUACCCAAAGAAUAAGCACCGGCUAACUUCGUG